AUGGGGACUGACUCACUGUUGGAGCCAGACUCUAGUGGCCAUUAGAGGAACUGCAGCUGCUGGUUUCAGUCUGGAGGUUGAGGGUUUAAAUCCUGUAAACUGACCUGAAGUUUAUCAUGUUUCACUCUCUGAUUUCAAGGCGGAUGGAAACAACAGAGCUCAGUGAACACACACUGCCUUUCAUUUAGGAACAGAUCAAACACUGACCCAGUGAAGACCAGCAACACACACUGACACCUGAUGGUCUGAAGGUCUGAGGGUCUGAUGGUUCAGGGUCUGAAGGUCUGAUGGUUCAGGGUCUGAUGGUCUGAAGGUCUGAGGGUUCAGGGUCUGAUGGUCUGAAGGUCUGAUGGUUCAGGGUCUGAAGGUCUGAUGGUUCAGGGUCUGAUGGUCUGAAGGUCUGAAGGU